UUAAGCGACUAAGCGUACACGGUGGAUGCCCUGGCAGUCAGAGGCGAUGAAGGACGUGCUAAUCUGCGAUAAGCGUCGGUGAGGUGAUAUGAACCGUUAUAACCGGCGAUUUCCGAAUGGGGAAACCCAGUGUGAUUCGUCACACUAUCAUUAACUGAAUCCAUAGGUUAAUGAGGCGAACCGGGGGAACUGAAACAUCUAAGUACCCCGAGGAAAAGAAAUCAACCGAGAUUCCCCCAGUAGCGGCGAGCGAACGGGGAGGAGCCCAGAGCCUGAAUCAGUGUGUGUGUUAGUGGAAGCGUCUGGAAAGGCGCGCGAUACAGGGUGACAGCCCCGUACACAAAAAUGCACAUACUGUGAGCUCGAUGAGUAGGGCGGGACACGUGGUAUCCUGUCUGAAUAUGGGGGGACCAUCCUCCAAGGCUAAAUACUCCUGACUGACCGAUAGUGAACCAGUACCGUGAGGGAAAGGCGAAAAGAACCCCGGCGAGGGGAGUGAAAAAGAACCUGAAACCGUGUACGUACAAGCAGUGGGAGCCUCUUAAUGGGGUGACUGCGUACCUUUUGUAUAAUGGGUCAGCGACUUAUAUUCUGUAGCAAGGUUAACCGAAUAGGGGAGCCGAAGGGAAACCGAGUCUUAACUGGGCGUUAAGUUGCAGGGUAUAGACCCGAAACCCGGUGAUCUAGCCAUGGGCAGGUUGAAGGUUGGGUAACACUAACUGGAGGACCGAACCGACUAAUGUUGAAAAAUUAGCGGAUGACUUGUGGCUGGGGGGGAAAGGCCAAUCAAACCGGGAGAUAGCUGGUUCUCCCCGAAAGCUAUUUAGGUAGCGCCUCGUGAAUUCAUCUCCGGGGGUAGAGCACUGUUUCGGCAAGGGGGUCAUCCCGACUUACCAACCCGAUGCAAACUGCGAAUACCGGAGAAUGUUAUCACGGGAGACACACGGCGGGUGCUAACGUCCGUCGUGAAGAGGGAAACAACCCAGACCGCCAGCUAAGGUCCCAAAGUCAUGGUUAAGUGGGAAACGAUGUGGGAAGGCCCAGACAGCCAGGAUGUUGGCUUAGAAGCAGCCAUCAUUUAAAGAAAGCGUAAUAGCUCACUGGUCGAGUCGGCCUGCGCGGAAGAUGUAACGGGGCUAAACCAUGCACCGAAGCUGCGGCAGCGACACUAUGUGUUGUUGGGUAGGGGAGCGUUCUGUAAGCCUGUGAAGGUGGCCUGUGAGGGUUGCUGGAGGUAUCAGAAGUGCGAAUGCUGACAUAAGUAACGAUAAAGCGGGUGAAAAGCCCGCUCGCCGGAAGACCAAGGGUUCCUGUCCAACGUUAAUCGGGGCAGGGUGAGUCGACCCCUAAGGCGAGGCCGAAAGGCGUAGUCGAUGGGAAACAGGUUAAUAUUCCUGUACUUGGUGUUACUGCGAAGGGGGGACGGAGAAGGCUAUGUUGGCCGGGCGACGGUUGUCCCGGUUUAAGCGUGUAGGCUGGUUUUCCAGGCAAAUCCGGAAAAUCAAGGCUGAGGCGUGAUGACGAGGCACUACGGUGCUGAAGCGACAAAUGCCCUGCUUCCAGGAAAAGCCUCUAAGCAUCAGGUAACAUCAAAUCGUACCCCAAACCGACACAGGUGGUCAGGUAGAGAAUACCAAGGCGCUUGAGAGAACUCGGGUGAAGGAACUAGGCAAAAUGGUGCCGUAACUUCGGGAGAAGGCACGCUGAUAUGUAGGUGAAGCGACUUGCUCGUGGAGCUGAAAUCAGUCGAAGAUACCAGCUGGCUGCAACUGUUUAUUAAAAACACAGCACUGUGCAAACACGAAAGUGGACGUAUACGGUGUGACGCCUGCCCGGUGCCGGAAGGUUAAUUGAUGGGGUUAGCGGUAACGCGAAGCUCUUGAUCGAAGCCCCGGUAAACGGCGGCCGUAACUAUAACGGUCCUAAGGUAGCGAAAUUCCUUGUCGGGUAAGUUCCGACCUGCACGAAUGGCGUAAUGAUGGCCAGGCUGUCUCCACCCGAGACUCAGUGAAAUUGAACUCGCUGUGAAGAUGCAGUGUACCCGCGGCAAGACGGAAAGACCCCGUGAACCUUUACUAUAGCUUGACACUGAACAUUGAGCCUUGAUGUGUAGGAUAGGUGGGAGGCUUUGAAGUGUGGACGCCAGUCUGCAUGGAGCCGACCUUGAAAUACCACCCUUUAAUGUUUGAUGUUCUAACGUGGGCCCCUUACCGGGGUUGCGGACAGUGUCUGGUGGGUAGUUUGACUGGGGCGGUCUCCUCCUAAAGAGUAACGGAGGAGCACGAAGGUUGGCUAAUCCUGGUCGGACAUCAGGAGGUUAGUGCAAUGGCAUAAGCCAGCUUGACUGCGAGCGUGACGGCGCGAGCAGGUGCGAAAGCAGGUCAUAGUGAUCCGGUGGUUCUGAAUGGAAGGGCCAUCGCUCAACGGAUAAAAGGUACUCCGGGGAUAACAGGCUGAUACCGCCCAAGAGUUCAUAUCGACGGCGGUGUUUGGCACCUCGAUGUCGGCUCAUCACAUCCUGGGGCUGAAGUAGGUCCCAAGGGUAUGGCUGUUCGCCAUUUAAAGUGGUACGCGAGCUGGGUUUAGAACGUCGUGAGACAGUUCGGUCCCUAUCUGCCGUGGGCGCUGGAGAACUGAGGGGGGCUGCUCCUAGUACGAGAGGACCGGAGUGGACGCAUCACUGGUGUUCGGGUUGUCAUGCCAAUGGCACUGCCCGGUAGCUAAAUGCGGAAGAGAUAAGUGCUGAAAGCAUCUAAGCACGAAACUUGCCCCGAGAUGAGUUCUCCCUGACUCCUUGAGAGUCCUGAAGGAACGUUGAAGACGACGACGUUGAUAGGCCGGGUGUGUAAGCGCAGCGAUGCGUUGAGCUAACCGGUACUAAUGAACCGUGAGGCUUAACCUU
rnacentral:rRNA from 1 species